CCUAGGGCAAGUGCUCUCACCCGUGCAGAAUCCUGCCCUCCUUGCCACUGACGGGACCAUCCGCACUGGGUCAGCCUAUGAGCAACACUGACCUGAUUCACCUGCACGCCUUCAUUCCCCCACCUUCAUCCUCCUCCUCGCAGAGGUGAUCAGAUGUUUGCAGGUGCCUGCCUGUGUUUACAAAAUCCAUCCCAGGAAACCACAUGACAUUUGGUCAUCUGCCAUUGCAUUCCUUUACGUGUAUGAUCAAGUGGUUCCCUGAGGGCUUUGAUGAUCAGGGCAGAGGCAGAAGGCACCACCUCAAUCUGGGCCUGUCUGUUCUGAAUGGUCAGUUUCACUGUAAUCCUCAGGCCCUUCCGGUAACCCGUUGCCUUGGCAAUGUUAUCACCAACCUUUUUUGGAGACAGACCCAGGGGGCCGAUCUUGGGGGCCAGCGCAGAAGCAGCGACUUCACCUCCAGUGCACCUCAGCCUCACUGCCACCCUGCGUGGUGCGUGGGCCGGAAUGACCCUUCCCCUCUUGCAGUUUGGAGAAGUUGAGGACCCGUGUGAACCCUGAAAUCAUUCAUGCCCGGGCUCCCCGUUCGCCAGCCCAUGCUGCCCUCUAGUGGUUGUGUGCGCACCUGCCUUUAGGGAGUCCAGGACAGCCGGGACAACCAGCUCAUCUGCAGACAGCAGUGGCCAGCCUUCCCAGGCUGCGCAGGGGACCCUAGGCAGGGACCGUCCCCCUCAGGACCCUUCCAGCACUGCAUGCCUUCACCAGCUCCUCUUCCUGUCUCGCAGCAUCUGGUUUAGAUGCAUAGAUAGAUGUAUUAUAUACGUAUAUUUUAAUUGUGCUAAAAUACAUGUAAAAUUUACCAUCGCAACUAACUGUACGGUUUCAUGGCAUUAAGUACCUUCACACUGUUGGGCAACCAUCACCACCAUACAUCUCCAGAACUAUUUUUUUUUUUAAGACAAAGUCUUACUGUGUCACCCAGGCUGGAAGCGCAGUGGUGCAAUCUUGGCUCACGACAACCUCUGCCUCCUGUGUUCAAGUGAUUCUCCCACGUCAGCCUCCCAAGUAGCUGGAACUACAGGUGCCCUACAGAUGGGAUUUCACCAUUUUGGCCAGGCUGGUCUCGAACUCCUGACCUCAAGUGAUCCACCUGCCUCAGCCUCCCAAAGUGCUGGGAUUACAGAUGUGAGCCACCGCACCCAGGCUGCCAUCCUUUUUAAGGUUGAAGAAUCUUCCAUUGUCUGGAGAGACCACAUCUUGUCAUCCGUUCUUCUGUUCAUGGACACUUGGUUCCUUCCCCCUUUUGGCUAUUGUGAGUAAUGCUGAUAUGAACAUGGGUGCACAAAUAUCUCUUUGAAUCUAGAGAAUAUAUUUUAUCUUUGCCAGUAAGUGUACCCAAAGGGAAGGGAAAUCAUCUUUGCCUGGGGUGUUCUGAUUGUGCCUACAUGUGGCAGGCGCCCUCCAAGUGAGAGCAGAGAAAAGGAUGAAAAGAGGAAUGAAAAGAAGAAUGAAGGUUGGUUGGGAGGGUUGGGGUGGGGGAGGUGAAUACACACUAUUGAGUGCUCCCUAGAAGCAUCCCCUUAUGGAAUGGAAUGAUUUUUACAUGGGCAGCCCGAAAAGCAGAGGCAUCUCCUAGAAUUUCAUCCAGGUAACACCCCUCCAAAUACACUCAAACAGAAGCAUGCUAGGACAUGAGGAAUUACAACAAGGCUAUAUAUACACACACACACACACACACACACACACACACACAUAUGCAUAUAUAUACACAUAUACAUACAUAUAUACAUAUAUGGACAUGUAUAUACACACAUAUACAUAUAUAUACGCACACACACAUAUAUAUGGUUUUUUUGUUGUUUGUUUAUAUGGUUUUUUUGUUGUUUUGUUUUGUUUUUUGAGACGGAGUUUUGCUCUUGUUGCCCAGGCUGGAGUGCAAUGCCGUGAUCUCGGCUAACCACAACCUCCGCCUCCCAGGUUCAAGCGAUUCUCCUGCCUCAGCC
rnacentral:lncRNA from 10 species